AAAUUAAUUUUUUUAUGAAAGAGAAAUAAUGUAACCCACGCUAAUUUCACUUUCACUUAAUUUAUUCUGAAAGAAGCGUCAGCCUUUGCAUCGCCGAACCCACCGCCGCACCCACUGACGCACGCCCAUAGUCACCGACACACCGGCGCACCGCCACACCCACCGAAGCACCACUGCACUGCUGCAUCGUAGCCCCACCACUGCACUGCUGCACCGUAGCCCCACCACUGCACUAAAUAGGACAUGACAUGUCAAUUCGAGUUCAAGAUAUUAGUUGAUCAAGGUGGUGCAUGCUUUCUAGUAAGUUUCCGAGCAAUGGUCAGCUCUGAUUUUCCGAUACGGAGAGACAAAACAAUGUGAACAACAGACAGAGUUAUGUGAGAGACAAUAUUGGGCCUUGUGAGAGACAUGCUUGUAAUUUAUAAGUACAUCAUUUUCUUGAUGUAGAGCUGAUGAUAUAUAUGUAGAUUUUAAUUAAAUUGAGCCUUACAUUGUUUAGGAUAUAUAAUCUUUGUAUUUAUCAUAAAAGUGAAUUAAUAUUUUAUACUGUUUCACAUAAUAAAAAAAAAUGUAGCGUAUUAGUGGGGUGAAUACAAGUUAUGUGAAAUUAUUUGGA